AGGAUCAUUGUCGUGACCCUGACCAAAACGACCAGAGAACAUGUUUAUCAUGAAUGGGGUCGGGGUGAAAGCCCGUCCCGUCGGUGCGCGCACUCGUGCGCGUCGCACGGCCUUGCUGCUCGAUGCAACAACGAACCCCGGCGCGGUCUGCGCCAAGGAACAUGAACUUGAGCGUGCUCGUCUUGUGCCCGGGUCACCGGCGCAUGGGAGUGGAUGCACCCAAUAUUGAGUAUUAAACGACUCUCGGCAACGGAUAUCUUGGCUCUCGCAUCGAUGAAGAACGUAGCGAAAUGCGAUACUUGGUGUGAAUUGCAGAAUCCCGUGAACCAUCGAGUUUUUGAACGCAAGUUGCGCCCGAAGCCUUUGGCCAGGGCACGUCUGCCUGGGCGUCACGCACUGCGUCUCCCCCAACCCGCCUAGCUGUGGGAGGGGCGAGGAGGAUGGUCUCCCAUGCCUCACCGGGCGUGGAUGGCCUAAAACAGGAGCCCACGGUUUUGAGCUGCUGCGGCGAUUGGUGGUGUGCAAGGCCUAGCCUAGAAUGCAAUCGCGUCGCACAGUGCGUAGACCUUGUGGCCUUGAGGACCCUAGAGCGUUGCCCGAGGGCGACCAACCACUGCGACCCCAGGUCGGGCGGGACUACCCGCUGAG
rnacentral:rRNA from 1 species